GGAAGGAAGGAGAAUGAUCUGAUGUGAUCCUAAGUAGAAAAAGUCAUUCUCUCCAUCUCAGCCCCAUUGGUGGGCUGAUAGAACUGGAGAGGCUCCUUCACCCCUGAUGGUACUGCUGAAGGGAUGGUGGUGUCAGCUCCGCAUGCUGGAUUCAUCUGGACUCCUGACUGCAAAGACCAGGCUAUCCCUGAUGACACUUGGCAGGGGCAGGAGGAAGAACAAGACAUGGAUAAGAAGAUACUGUCCUAAGCCUGUGCCUUAAACUUGAGGACAUUUACAUCAGCUGGCACCACUACUGAGUACAUGAAACCAUUCUACCACACCUGCUACUUCAGGCUAAUGGAGAAAUGGAAAGAUGGAUGGAAUCCACAAGCAUAGGCUCAAGGUUGGACUCCACAUGUAGUGAAAGGAAUUCCUUCUCCUCCAUGACAUACCAUGUUAUGAACUGGAUUUCCAAAAAUCUGUGGAUGGUGGUUUGGACAGAUGCACUGAAGACAAAGAAUGAAAA